AGCUCCGGUGGCCUAGUAGUUUUAGCAUCCGCUUCGGAAGCGAGGGGGGGGGGUGCUGGUUCGAACCCAGACCGAGUUC